rnacentral:rRNA from 1 species
UAUUGGACAAUGGUCGCAAGACUGAUCCAGCCAUGCCGCGUGCAGGAAGACGGCCCUAUGGGUUGUAAACUGCUUUUGUACCAGAGAAAACCUAUCUACGUGUAUAUAGCUGAUAGUAUGGUAAGAAUAAGCAUCGGCUAACUUCGUGCCAGCAGCCGCGGUAAGACGAAGGAUGCAAGCGUUAUCCGGAUUCAUUGGGUUUAAAGGGUGCGUAGGCGGGCUUGUAAGUCAGUGGUGAAAUCUCUCAGCUUAACUGAGAAACUGCCGUUGAUACUGCAGGCCUAGAGUAUAGAUGACGUUGGCGGAAUAUUACAGGUAGUGGUGAAAUACUUAGAUAUGUCAUAGAACACCGAUUGCGAAGGCAGCUAACGAAACUAUAACUGACGCGGAGGCACGAAAGUGCGGGGAUCAAACA